rnacentral:tRNA from 1 species
GGUGCCAUAGCUCAGUUGGUAGAGCAAAGGACAGAAAAUCCUUGUGUCCCCGGUUCGAUUCCUGGUGGCACCA